rnacentral:lncRNA from 1 species
UUUUAUUGAUUUUGUUAUUGAAUUCUUUAUUUCGUUAAUUUUUUUUUAUAAAUAUUAUUGAUAAAUUUUGUAUUUUUAAUAAUUUAUAAUAAAUUUGUAGUUGAGAAUAUGAUAUCCAUUAAUUAAAAAUAUAAAAUACAUUUUACUUGAAAUAAAAAAUAUAUAUCCUUAUAAGUUGAAUGAUAUCUAAAAUAUAAUAUUAUAAUUUUCUAUAAUUUUAAUAAUUAAAACAUAAUUGAAAGAAAA